rnacentral:rRNA from 1 species
AGAGUUUGAUUCUGGCUCAGAAUGAACGCUGGCGGCGUGCCUAACACAUGCAAGUCGCACGAGAAAGGCUGGGUUUCGGCUUGGCCGAGUAAAGUGGCGCACGGGUGAGUAACGCGUGGGUGACCUACCCUCGAAUCUGGGAUAACCUCGCGAAAGCGGGGCUAAUACCGGAUACGUCCCUUUGGGGAGAAAGCCGGCCUCUCGAAGAAGCUGGUGUUCGGGGAUGGGCCCGCGUCCUAUCAGCUAGUUGGUAGGGUAACGGCCUACCAAGGCGACGACGGGUAGCUGGUCUGAGAGGAUGAUCAGCCACACUGGCACUGGAACACGGGCCAGACUCCUACGGGAGGCAGCAGUGAGGAAUUUUGCCCAAUGGGAGCAAUCCUGACGCAGCAACGCCGCGUGGGUGAAGAAGGCCUUCGGGUCGUAAAGCCCUGUCUGGAGGGAAGAACCUCGCUGGGGCGAAUAGCCUGGACGACUGACGGUACCUCCAGAGGAAGCACCGGCUAACUCCGUGCCAUCAAGCCCCGGUAAUACGGAGGGUGCGAGCGUUAUUCGGAAUUACUGGGCGUAAAGCGCGUGUAGGCGGCAAGCCAAGUCUGGUGUGAAACCCCCGGGGCUUCACCCCCGAAGUGCAUUGGAAACUGUUCUGCUUGAUUACCUGAAAGGAAAGGGGAAAUUCCCGGGUACCGGUGAAAUGCGUAGAUAUCCGGAGGAAUAUCCGAGGCCAACGACUCCUUUUGGUACGUUACUGACCCCUAAACACCAAAAUCUGGGGAGUCAACGGCAUAAAUCCCCUGCUGCUCA